GGGGCCACGCCGCUGCACAUGGCGGCUGCCGGUGGCGCGGCGAACGCGGUCGCGGCCACGCGCCUGUUGCUCGCCGCGGGGGCGUCGGUCGACGCGCUCUCGGCUUCGGGGCUCCGCGCCGGUGACCUCCUCCCGCGCGCCACCGCGGCGGAGAAGGCCAUCCGGCUGCUGCUCAAGUCGCCGGCCGUGUCGCCGUCGUCGUCGCCGAAGAAGUCGGCCUCGCCGCCGUCGCCGCCGCCGCCGCAGGAGGCGAAGAAGGAGUACCCGCCUGACCUGACGCUGCCCGACCUCAAGAGCGGACUGUUCAGCACCGACGAGUUCCGCAUGUACAGCUUCAAGGUGAAGCCGUGCUCCCGCGCCUACUCCCAUGAC
rnacentral:lncRNA from 1 species